UGGGGAAUCUUCCGCAAUGGGCGCAAGCCUGACGGAGCAACGCCGCGUGAAUGAAGAAGGUCUUCGGAUCGUAAAGUUCUGUUCUUAGGGAAGAAGUCUUAGGUUGUGAAUAAUGACUUAAGGUGACGGUACCUAUGGAGAAAGCUCCGGCUAACUACGUGCCAGCAGCCGCGGUAAUACGUAGGGAGCGAGCGUUGUCCGGAAUUACUGGGCGUAAAGGGCGCGUAGGCGGGAACUUAAGUUAGAUGUGAAAACUCCGGGCUCAACCUGGAGACUGCAUUUAAAACUGGGUUUCUUGAGGGC
rnacentral:rRNA from 1 species